AACGAACGCUGGCGGCAUGCCUAACACAUGCAAGUCGAACGAGAUCUUCGGGUCUAGUGGCGCACGGGUGCGUAACGCGUGGGAAUCUGCCCUUUGGUUCGGAAUAACAGUUGGAAACGACUGCUAAUACCGGAUGAUGACGAAAGUCCAAAGAUUCAUCGCCAGAGGAUGAGCCCGCGUAGGAUUAGCUAGUUGGUGUGGUAAAGGCGCACCAAGGCGACGAUCCUUAGCUGGUCUGAGAGGAUGAUCAGCCACACUGGGACUGAGACACGGCCCAGACUCCUACGGGAGGCAGCAGUGGGGAAUAUUGGACAAUGGGCGAAAGCCUGAUCCAGCAAUGCCGCGUGAGUGAUGAAGGCCCUAGGGUUGUAAAGCUCUUCUACCCGGGAUGAUAAUGACAGUACCGGGAGAAUAAGCCCCGGCCAACUCCGUGCCAGCCGCCGCCGUAA
rnacentral:rRNA from 1 species